CCUGAUGCAGCAACGCCGCGUGAGGGACGAAGGCCUUCGGGUUGUAAACCUCUUUUCUGAGGGACGAGGAAGGACGGUACCUCAGGAAUAAGUCUCGGCUAACUACGUGCCAGCAGCCGCGGUAAAACGUAGGAGGCGAGCGUUAUCCGGAUUUACUGGGCGUAAAGCGCGCGCAGGUGGCUUCGUGAGUCGGACAUGAAAGCUCCUGGCUUAACUGGGAGAGGCUGUUCGAUACUGCGGGGCUUGAGGUUGGGAGAGGGACGCGGAAUUCCCGGUGUAGUGGUGGAAUGCGUAGAUAUCGGGAGGAACACCAGUGGCGCAAGCGGCGUCCUGGCCCACACCUGACGCUGAGGUGCGAAAGCGUGGGUAGCAAACAGGAUUAGAUACCCUGGUAGUCCACGCUGUAAACGAUGUCAACUGGGUGUCGGUAGUUUUACACUAUCGGUGCCGAAGCUAACGCG
rnacentral:rRNA from 1 species